UGGGGAAUUUUGGACAAUGGGGGCAACCCUGAUCCAGCAAUGCCGCGUGUGUGAAGAAGGCCUUCGGGUUGUAAAGCACUUUUGUCCGGAAAGAAAACGCCGUGGUUAAUACCCGUGGCGGAUGACGGUACCGGAAGAAUAAGCACCGGCUAACUACGUGCCAGCAGCCGCGGUAAUACGUAGGGUGCAAGCGUUAAUCGGAAUUACUGGGCGUAAAGCGUGCGCAGGCGGUCCGCUAAGACAGAUGUGAAAUCCCCGGGCUUAACCUGGGAACUGCAUUUGUGACUGGCGGGCUAGAGUAUGGCAGAGGGGGGUAGAAUUCCACGUGUAGCAGUGAAAUGCGUAGAGAUGUGGAGGAAUACCGAUGGCGAAGGCAGCCCCCUGGGCCAAUACUGACGCUCAUGCACGAAAGCGUGGGGAGCAAACAGGAUUCAGAUA
rnacentral:rRNA from 1 species